rnacentral:lncRNA from 1 species
AAAGGGGAGUUUCGGGCCAUUUUCUCUUUUCGGGCAAGAGGAUCUUCCGUUUCUUAUUCUGCGUUCUAUAGAUUCAAUGUUUUAGUGUGUUUACUUCUUUCUAGACACUAUGCUAUGCUAUGCUAAAUGAUUUGAAACGCCCAGUUGAGUUCGUAGAAACCACUAUGAUGCUACUAAGAAAAGGAGUUCUGUUAGUGAAUUACUAUAAGGCCGGGCUUUGGGGAAGUUCGUUUUCUUUUCCAUUCUUCUUUUAUAUAAAUGCUUUAAUAAAAGAUUGUUUGACUUUUGCGCUAAUGGAGCUCACCCUCCGGCAUUAGUCAGCUUUGGAGUUCAAGAGUCAGCUAUGUUUUGUUAAUCUCUUACAUGAUGCGUGCACACCAUCUGCUUUUCAACAAGCAAACAAGCAAGACCAGGACUUGGGCACUGGGUAUUCUCUUUCUUCCCUUAGUAACUGAUAUUCUUAUAUAUUAAUUCCGCAAGUAAGCUUCUGUGAGUUCCGCUUCUCAUACCUAUUGCUCCC